rnacentral:rRNA from 1 species
ACGAACGCUUGCGGCGUGCUUAAUCAUGCAAGUAGAACGUGAAGAAGGAGCUUGCUCUUCUGAAGAGUUGCGAACGGGUGAGUAACGCGUAGGUAACCUGCUUGUAGCGGGGGAUAACUAUUGGAAACGAUAGCUAAUACCGCAUAACAAUGGGUGACCCAUGUCAUUUAUUUGAAAGGGGCAAAUGCUCCAUACAAGAUGGACCUGCGUUGUAUUAGCUAGUAGGUGAGGUAACGGCUCACCUAGGCGACGAUACAUAGCCGACCUGAGAGGGUGAUCGGCCACACUGGGACUGAGACACGGCCCAGACUCCUACGGGAGGCAGCAGUAGGGAAUCUUCGGCAAUGGGGCAACCCUGACCGAGCAACGCCGCGUGAGUGAAGAAGGUUUUCGGAUCGUAAAGCUCUGUUGUAAGUCAAGAACGAGUGUGAGAGUGGAAAGUUCACACUGUGACGGUAGCUUACCAGAAAGGGCGGG